rnacentral:misc_RNA from 1 species
GAUGAAGAACGUAGCGAAAUGCGAUAAGUAGUGUGAAUUGCAGAAUUCAGUGAAUCAUCGAAUCUUUGAACGCACAUUGCGCCCCUUGGUAUCCCGAGGGGCAUGCCUGUUCGAGCGUCAUUUCACCACUCAAGCCUGGCUUGGUGUUGGGCGACGUCCCCUUUAGGGACGCGCCUCGAAACGCUCGGCGGCGUGGCACCGGCUUUAAGCGUAGCAGAAUCUUUCGCUUUGGAAGUCGGGGCCCCGCCUGCCGGAAUACCUACUCGUAAGGUUGACCUCGGAUCAGGCAAGGAUACCCGCUGAACUUAAGCAUAUCAAUAAGCGGAGGA